rnacentral:rRNA from 1 species
GACCGUGCAAAGGUAGCAUAAUCAUUUGCCUUAUAAUUGAAGGCUAGUAUGAAUGGUUUGACGAGAAUUGAGCUGUCUCUUUUUGAUUAAAUAUAAUUUUAUUUAUAGGUGAAGAAGCCUAUUUACUAUUGAAAGACAAGAAGACCCUAUCGAGCUUUAAAAAAUUUAGUAGACUUUAAACUUUAUUUAUAAAAAACAAAACUAUUAAGAACUUUGGUUGGGGCGACUGAGGAACAAAAAAAGCUUCCUUUAUUAAAUAAAUUACUAGCAAGUAUUGAUCCAAUAUAUUUGAUUAAAGGAAUUAGUUACCGUAGGGAUAACAGCAUAAUCCUCUUUGAGAGUUCUUAUCGAAAAGGGGGUUUGUGACCUCGAUGUUGGACCAGAAUAUCCUGAAGAUGCAGACGUCUUCAAUGGUUGGUCUGUUCGACCAUUAAAAUUCUACGUGAUCUGAGUUCAGACCGGCGUGAGCCAGGUCAGUUUCUAUCUUCAAUUUUUAAAAUAGCCUUAGUACGAAAGGACCAGGUUAUUACAAAAAUGAUUUGUAACACUUAGAUUAAAUAUAAAAAAUAAUUAAGCUUAUAAAUAUCAAAUUAGCAAAGAUUAAUGCAGUUGACUUAGGAUCAAUAGACAUAGGUGAAAUCCCUUUAUUUGAUAAAUAAAGAUGGCAGAAGAA